rnacentral:rRNA from 1 species
AACCUCUACAAUGCACGAAAGUGUGAUAGGGGGACUCCAAGUGACCACGUUAGUGGUCUUUUCUCUACUUCAAAAAGGUAGGGGAAUAAGGACUGGGCAAGACUGGUGCCAGCCUCCGCGGUAACACCAGCAGUUCGAGUGGUAACCGCGUUUACUGGGUUUAAAGCGUCCGUAGUCGGUUCAGCCAGUCUUCUGUGAAAUCCUGCAGCUUAACUGUAGGGCUUGCAGAAGAUACUACUGAGCUAGAGGCCGGGAGAGGCAGGGGGUAUUCUGGGGGUACCGGUGAAAUGGUAUAAUCCCUGGAAGACCACCAGUAGCGAAGGCGCCCUGCUAGAACGGGCCUGACGAUGAGGAACGAGAGCUAGGGGAGCAAACCGGAUUAGAUACCCGGGUAGUCCUAGCUGUAAACGAUGUGGGCUGAGUGUUGCCGGAACCUCGUGUUCCAGCAGUGCUGAAGGGAAACCGUUAAGCCCACCAUCUGGAAGUACGCCGCAAGAC